rnacentral:rRNA from 1 species
GAUGAACGCUGGCGGCGUGCCUAAUACAUGCAAGUCGAACGCUGGAGAUCUAGCUUGCUAGAUCGAAGGAGUGGCGAACGGGUGAGUAAUACAUAAGCAACCUACCCACGAAGACUGGGAUAAUCUCUGGAAACGGGGACUAAUACCGGAUAGGUAAUCGGAAGGCAUCUUCUGGUUAUUAAAGGUUAAAAACACUGGUGGAUGGGCUUAUGGCGCAUUAGUUAGUUGGUGAGGUAACGGCCCACCAAGACGAUGAUGCGUAGCCGGCCUGAGAGGGUGAACGGCCACAUUGGGACUGAGACACGGCCCAGACUCCUACGGGAGGCAGCAGUAGGGAAUUUUCGGCAAUGGGGGAAACCCUGACCGAGCAACGCCGCGUGAGUGAUGACGGCCUUCGGGUUGUAAAGCUCUGUUGUAAGGGAAGAACGGUAGAUAGAGAAUAUCUAAGUGACGGUACCUUACCAGAAAGCCACGGCUAACUACGUGCCAGCAGCCGCGGUAAUACGUAGGUGGCGAGCGUUAUCCGGAAUUAUUGGGCGUAAAGGGUGCGUAGGCGGCCUGUUAAGUAAGUGGUUAAAUUGUUGGGCUCAACCCAAUCCAGCCACUUAAACUGGCAGGCUAGAGUAUUGGAGAGGCAAGUGGAAUUCCAUGUGUAGCGGUAAAAUGCGUAGAUAUAUGGAGGAACACCAGUGGCGAAGGCGGCUUGCUAGCCAAAGACUGACGCUCAUGCACGAAAGCGUGGGGAGCAAAUAGG